UGAUGAGUCGUGUCGUUCACAAAUUGCGUUAAUUUCUGAAUCCUCAUGUUCUUCAACAAUUAUUUCCACCAACUUUGGAAAAGACAUUGAAUCAGAAAGCGACCGCCCCUAUGACGAAAGAGCAACAGAUUCGGUGAUUUCACAAAUAGCGACAACUGUGUCAGUCGAACAACAGUUUUCCAACCCCGGAAGAAAUAUCACACGAUCUCGCCGAUUAUUUUCAUGAAAAUUUUACAGAAGAAAAUCGCGAAAUAUUGAUUCGUAAAGGAUCUGACCAUUUUCAAAAUGAAGAUUCUGCCUUUUCAGAUACAUCCAGAACCUACAAAGAUGAAAAUAGUGAUUCUCACCUUCCAGAAGAGGAUACAUCGGUGGCAUGUGCUCAUGAAUAUGGACAGGCCUGGUGACCACUUCUUUGCUGCCAGGUUUCAAAAAAUUGAGGUUAUCUUCUUUGGACACAGGAAACUUGGGAGCAGGAUGUGCUGCCGGGGCAAAAUUAACAUAGAAUGAAGGCUUCAGCGGAAUGGGAAGAUGCAACGGAAAAAAUAGAUCCUUUACAUUUCCAGAAGCUGGUUUUUGAAAAAAAAUUUCAUGAUUAUUUGAAUUUAAUUGAUUUAAAAGGACCAAAAGAUCAAUAUCUUGACCCAAAACAAUGACAGUUUUAUUAGUAUCUCUGUCAAUUUCUAUCGAGGUCCUAAUUAUGUCAGCAUCAGCAUCUUCUUCUACUUCUUCCCAGGAAGACCCUUGUGAAUGUAAUCUUUUCAUUAAAGUUUUUAUUAUUU